rnacentral:rRNA from 1 species
UACAGAGGGGGCAAGCGUUAUUCGGAAUUAUUGGGCGUAAAGGGCGCGUAGGCGGCGAUUCAAGUGACGGGUGAAAUCCCUCGGCUUAACCGAGGAACUGCCUGUCAGACUGGGUUGCUUGAGACCGGGAGAGGCGAGUGGAAUUCCCAGUGUAGCGGUGAAAUGCGUAGAUAUCUGGAGGAACACCGGUGGCGAAGGCGGCAUCCUGGACCGGCAUUGACGCUGAGGCGCGAAAGCCAGGGGAGCAAACGGG